rnacentral:rRNA from 1 species
UACGAGGGGGGCGAGCGUUGUUCGGAAUUAUUGGGCGUAAAGGGCGCGUAGGCGGUGCGGUAAGUCACCUGUGAAACCUCUGGGCUUAACUCAGAGCCUGCAGGCGAAACUGCCGUGCUGGAGUGUGGGAGAGGUGAGUGGAAUUCCUGGUGUAGCGGUGAAAUUCGUAGAUAUCAAGCGGAACACCGGUGGCGAAGGCGGCCUUCUGGACGAUGACUGACGCUGAGACGCGAAAGCGUGGGGAGCAAACAGG